AACCUGCGGAGGGAUCAUUACAGAGUGUAAAAACUCCAAAACCCACUGUGUAUCUUACCUGUCUGUUGCUUCGGCAGGCGGCCCCAGGGCGGGGCCGGCCGGAGCUGCUGUGCAGCGCCUGCCGGAGGACCCACAAAACUCUUGUUAUAGUGUUACUCUGAGUAAAAAAAAACAAAUCAGUCAAAACCUUCAACAACGGAUCUCUUGGUUCUGGCAUCGAUGAAGAACGCAGCGAAAUGCGAUAAGUAAUGUGAAUUGCAGAAUUCAGUGAAUCAUCGAAUCUUUGAACGCAUAUUGCGCCCUCUAGUAUUCUAGGAGGCAUGCCUGUUCGAGCGUCAUUUCAACCCUCAAGCACUGCUUGGUGUUAAGGCCCUGUAGCGGUCUGCUACAGGCCCUAAAAGACAGUGGCGGGCUUGUCACGAUCCCGAGCGUAGUAAUUUGUUUCUCGCUUAGGGUUUCUGGCGGGUUCCCAGCCGUUAAACCCCCAUCUCUUUCAAGGUGACCUCGGAU
rnacentral:rRNA from 1 species